rnacentral:rRNA from 1 species
GACGAACGCUGGCGGCGCGCUUAACACAUGCAAGUCGAGCGACGAAAAGGUCCUUCGGGACCCUCGAAAGCGGCGAACGGGUGAGUAACACGUGGGCAACCCACCCUCGGUUUCGGGAUAGCCCGGGGAAACCCGGACUUAAUACCGAAUAGCCUCUCCGGUCUUCGGGCUGGUGAGAAAAGGUAGCUUCGGCCUCCGACCGAGGACGGGCCCGCGGCCGAUUAGCUUGUUGGUGAGGUAACGGCUCACCAAGGCGACGAUCGGUAGCUGGUCUGAGAGGACGAUCAGCCACACUGGGACUGAGACACGGCCCAGACUCCUACGGGAGGCAGCAGUGGGGAAGUCUUGCGCAAUGGGGCGAAAGCCUGACGCAGCGACGCCGCGUGCGGGAAGAAGGCCUUAGGGUUGUAAACCGCUUUCAGGAGGGACGAAGCACUCGGGUUAACAGCCCAGAGGGUGACGGUACCUCCAGAAGAACGCCCGGCUAACUACGU